AAAUCUGCUGCUGUAUCUGAAAGGUGAGGCUGGGGACCGGAGGCUUGUGGUGCCAGGAUGGACCGGAGACUGAGGCUGGAGACCAGGGGCCUGCAGCACCGGACCAGAGGACCAGGAAACUAUGUCUGGGGGAGCCGAGCUGAUGGAGGAGCCGAGCUGAUGGAGGAGCCGUGCUGAUGGAGGAGCCGAGCUGAUGGAGCUGAUGGAGGAGCCGUGCUGAAGGAGCUGAUGGAGGAGCCGAGCUGAUGGAGGAGCCGAGCUGAUGGAGGAGCCGAGCUGAUGGAGGAGCCGGGCUGAAGGAGCUGAUGGAGGAGCCGUGCUGAUGGAGUCGUGCUGAGGGCCCUGCCUGGUGGAGGAGCUGGUGGAGGCCCUGCCUGGUGAAGGACGUCUCAUGGGACCAGGACUCUGUCUGAGGAGAGCUGCUGGAUUCCUCAACGUGUUGCUGGUGCGGAGGCAAGCUGGUAGGGGAGCCGUGAAUCUGGAGGAUGACCAUCACUCUACCAACAAGGAUUGUAAACACACCUGAGCUGAACCUCACCUGAUCCUGUUUGGUCGGGGGUAGACACACCUGAGCUGAACCCGCCCUGAUCCUGACAUCCUGCUGGUCCCGUCUCCUCAGUUCAUCUGCGCCUUGUCCUCCAGUUGACCUGCUGAGCUCAGCAGUCUGAGGCUGAUGGAUCAAUGACCUCCAGUGGGAGUGAUCUUCUUGACCCCACAUACCAGGACUCUGGCUGAGGUGAGCUGAUGGAGGAGCCAAGACUCUGGAGGACAACAUCACUCUACCAACCAGGAUCCUCACCAGGAAUCUGGAGGACUGAUGGAGAAGCCGUACAUCUGGAAGGCAAAUCCUGAGGACAAACAGGACUCUACCAUCAAGGAUUCCUCACACACCUGAGCUGAACCUCACCUGAUCCUGUUGGGUCGGGGGUAGACACACCUGAGCUGAACCCGCCCUGAUCCUGACAUCCUGCUGGUCCCGUCUCCUCAGUUCAUCUGCGCCUCGUCCUCCAGAUGACCUGCUGAGCUCAGCAGUCUGAGGCUGAUGGAUCAAUGACCUCCAGUGGGAGUGAUCUUCUUGACCCCACAUGUAACCGUGUGCUUCCACACGCCUUUCCCUCACGUCUGUCACUAACCUCACUACUUCACUACUCUCUACUGCUUCCUCUUUUCUUCCUUCUCUGUGGUUCAAACCUUUACACUGAAGGUGCAUCUUCCUGCCCUCAGAGGGUUCAGCGUUAGGGUUGAGAGUCAGGGUUUAGAGUUAGGGACAGAGCUGGUCAGGGAGGACUGCUUUUACACAAACCUCUUCACUUCCUUUCGGAAUGGUGGUGACAUUUUGAAAAGAUUCAUUCGGGAAAAUGUUUUCCUCUGCUUUCCUUUACAAAAUUGUAUUAAACUUCUGUCAAGUGUUUUUGUUUAUAUAUUAAAAUCCCACAUUGACUUCUA